rnacentral:rRNA from 1 species
AUUGAACGCUGGCGGCAGGCCUAACACAUGCAAGUCGAGCGGAUGAAGGGAGCUUGCUCCUGGAUUCAGCGGCGGACGGGUGAGUAAUGCCUAGGAAUCUGCCUGGUAGUGGGGGAUAACGUCCGGAAACGGGCGCUAAUACCGCAUACGUCCUGAGGGAGAAAGUGGGGGAUCUUCGGACCUCCCGCAAUCGAUGAGCCCUAGGUCGGAUUAGCUGGUUGGUGGGGUAAAGGCCUACCAAGGCGACGAUCCGUAACUGGUCUGAGAGGAUGAUCAGUCACACUGGAACUGAGACACGGUCCAGACUCCUACGGGAGGCAGCAGUGGGGAAUAUUGGACAAUGGGCGAAAGCCUGAUCCAGCCAUGCCGCGUGUGUGAAGAAGGUCUUCGGAUUGUAAAGCACUUUAAGUUGGGAGGAAGGGCAGUAAGUUAAUACCUUGCUGUUUUAACGUUACCAACAGAAUAAGCACCGGCUAACUUCGUG